ensembl:lncRNA
GUCCCUGCCUACUCAGCCCUGAUGGACACCCUGGAGAGGAGGGUCAGCUCAGACUUUGAAGUCUCUGAUGGAGCCAGGUUCCUUGCCUGAGCUCCCUUGGGGGACCCUGGCUGCCCCUCACCAACACCUCUACCCCAACCCAGCCCCUGCCUUUCUUUCCAGAAAUGUAUCCCGGUCUAUUUACACAGACUAGAGCAGGUCAGACCUUCCAUUGGAUCUUGAGGGCACCAGUCCCCCAAUAAAAAGCAACUAAUCUUCCAUCACUGUCAGGCCCAGGGUACCACCAUCAAGCUGCAAGCAUUCUCCAGUCCCCUCUGGGGCUGGGGGCUCCGCUGAGCCAAAGGGCCGCCCACAGGACAAUGGUCCCGUUGGCGCGUCCAGACAAAUGGGCCUUGUUGGGCUGACGGCGGGGGCGAGUUUGUGUGCCCCUGCUCGCUGAAUGCGGCUUCUGUGCCUCUGGGCGGGCGUGCAGGAGCCAGGACUAGGCGGGAGGGGACCAGGGCCUGGAGCGCCCAUUGGCCGAAGCGCAGGGGGUUGGGCUGGGCUGCUGACCGCACCUGGCCGGGAGCGAGAGCCUGCAAGGAGGCCGCUGUGGCGGCGGCAGAGGGGCAGGAACAUGGACCAAGCCUGGAGGACCGCGGAGGCCCGGCGGGUGCACCCCGCCGCCCAGUGAGUGAGCGAGCGCCCGGGCGGCACGCCCACCCCGAGCCAGCCACGCUGAGCCCGCGGAGAACCAGGCCAAGAACCUGGAAGGAAGCGCCCCGCCUCCAUCCCAGGCUCCUAGGGCAGAGAAGCUCAGCCGGUCCCAGCACCCAGAAGGAAGCUCCCCCACUGCCAUCCCAAGCUCCUAGGCCAGAGAAGGUGAGCCGAGUGGGUGCCAGAAGCACACCCCCGUCCCGCCCCCCGUGGAAAUGAGAAAACACAUAAACAAGCCUCAAAAACAGACUUCCGGAUCACCUACAGCAACCCCAAAGGGAAACAAGGUGGAACAAUCUGAUACUUAACCACCUGGACUCUCUAAACUGUCAACAAAAGAGGAUCUGGGAAAAAUGAAAUCAGAAAUAAUUACUCAGCUAACAGCAAAGAUUUUGCUCAUGGUGCAAGACAUGAUUAAUAAAUCUAGAGAGGACACAGAUAAAAAAAUAGAGGAUCUGAGGAACAUGAUGGAAUCCCAACAUAGGAAACCCGAAAUCCAUAAAACAGAUACAAACAGAUUUCCAAGAGAUUAAAAACUCCAUCAAAAGUCUGCACAGCAGAAUGAACCGAUGUGAGGAUAGAAUUUCACAUAUAGAAGAUGAGAUUGCAAUUAGUGAGGAGGAAAAGAAAAAUUGCCUUAAAAAUUUUAAGGGAACACAAG